GUUUGUUCAGCUCCACAGUCACACAAGGUGGAGGAUGUUAAAAAGCAUGGAGGACAGAAUGGAACCUUGUAGGACCCCACAGGUCAAUGGCCAGGGGUCCGAUUGUUGGGGAAUCGAGGAGUCUUUACGCUCAAAUCACUCCCUUUAUGAGGUGUUGGAAAGGAUGUAAUGAAGUGUGCAAAAUGUGGGCAUUUUGUGGAACCAAAGG
rnacentral:lncRNA from 11 species